rnacentral:rRNA from 1 species
GACGAACGCUGGCGGCGUGCUUAACACAUGCAAGUCGAGCGGUAAGGCCCUUCGGGGUACGACGAGCGGCGAACGGGUGAGUAACACGUGGGUGACCUGCCUCUAGCUCUGGGAGUAAGCCUGGGAAACGUGGGUCUAAUACCGGAUAUGACUCCACGGCGCAUGUUGUGGGGUGGAAAGCCUUGUGCGGCUAGAGAUGGGCCCGCGGCCUAUCAGCUUGUUGGUGGGUGAUGGCCUACCAAGCGAC